rnacentral:rRNA from 1 species
UAGUCCACGCUGUAAACGGUGGGUACUAGGUGUGGGGUCCAUUCCACGGAUUCUGUGCCGUAGCUAACGCAUUAAGUACCCCGCCUGGGGAGUACGGCCGCAAGGCUAAAACUCAAAGGAAUUGACGGGGCCCCGCACUAAGCGGCGGAGCAUGCGGAUUAAUUCGAUGCAACGCGAAGAACCUUACCUGGGUUUGACAUGGAUCGGGAGCUUCCAGAGAUGGUUGUGCCUCUUUUGGGGUCGGUUCACAGGUGGUGCAUGGCUGUCGUCAGCUCGUGUCGUGAGAUGUUGGGUUAAGUCCCGCAACGAGCGCAACCCUCGUCCACUGU